GACGAACGCUGGCGGCGUGCCUAAUACAUGCAAGUUGAGCGCUGAAGGUUGGUACUUGUACCAACUGGAUGAGCAGCGAACGGGUGAGUAACGCGUGGGGAAUCUGCCUUUGAGCGGGGGACAACAUUUGGAAACGAAUGCUAAUACCGCAUAAAAACUUUAAACACAAGUUUUAAGUUUGAAAGAUGCAAUUGCAUCACUCAAAGAUGAUCCCGCGUUGUAUUAGCUAGUUGGUGAGGUAAAGGCUCACCAAGGCGAUGAUACAUAGCCGACCUGAGAGGGUGAUCGGCCACAUUGGGACUGAGACACGGCCCAAACUCCUACGGGAGGCAGCAGUAGGGAAUCUUCGGCAAUGGACGAAAGCCUGACCGAGCAACGCCGCGUGAGUGAAGAAGGUUGUCGGAUCGUAAAACUCUGUUGGUAGAGAAGAACGUUGGUGAGAGUGGAAAGCUCAUCAAGUGACGGUAACUACCCAGAAAGGGACGGCUAACUACGUG
rnacentral:rRNA from 1 species